rnacentral:rRNA from 1 species
UGGGGAAUUUUGGACAAUGGGGGAAACCCUGAUCCAGCCAUCCCGCGUGUGCGAUGAAGGCCUUCGGGUUGUAAAGCACUUUUGGCAGGAAAGAAACGUCGCGGGUUAAUACCCCGCGAAACUGACGGUACCUGCAGAAUAAGCACCGGCUAACUACGUGCCAGCAGCCGCGGUAAUACGUAGGGUGCAAGCGUUAAUCGGAAUUACUGGGCGUAAAGCGUGCGCAGGCGGUUCGGAAAGAAAGAUGUGAAAUCCCAGAGCUUAACUUUGGAACUGCAUUUUUAACUACCGGGCUAGAGUGUGUCAGAGAGAUGUGGAAUUCCGCGUGUAGCAGUGAAAUGCGUAGAUAUGCGGAGGAACACCGAUGGCGAAGGCAGCCUCCUGGGAUAACACUGACGCUCAUGCACGAAAGCGUGGGGAGCAAACAGGAUUAGAUACCCUGGUAGUCCACGCCCUAAACGAUGUCAACUAGCUGUUGGGGCCUUCGGGCCUUGGUAGCGCAGCUAACGCGUGAAGUUGACCGCCUGGGGAGUACGGUCGCAAGAUUAAAACUCAAAUGAAUUGACGGGGGUCAUAGCUG